rnacentral:rRNA from 1 species
AUACUGGUUGGCUAGAGUAUGGGAGAGGAUGGUAGAAUUCCAGGUGUAGCGGUGAAAUGCGUAGAGAUCUGGAGGAAUACCGAUGGCGAAGGCAGCCAUCUGGCCUAAUACUGACGCUGAGGUACGAAAGCAUGGGGAGCAAACAGGAUUAGAUACCCUGGUAGUCCAUGCCGUAAACGAUGUCUACUAGCCGUUGGGGCCCUUGAGGCUUUAGUGGCGCAGCUAACGCGAUAAGUAGACCGCCUGGGGAGUACGGUCGCAAGACUAAAACUCAAAUGAAUUGACGGGGGCCCGCACAAGCGGUGGAGCAUGUGGUUUAAUUCGAUGCAACGCGAAGAACCUUACCUGGCCUUGACAUACAGAGAACUUUCCAGAGAUGGAUUGGUGCCUUCGGGAACUCUGAUACAGGUGCUGCAUGGCUGUCGUCAGCUCGUGUCGUGAGAUGUUGGGUUAAGUCCCGCAACGAGCGCAACCCUUUUCCUUAUUUGCCAGCACUUCGGGUGGGAACUUUAAGGAUACUGCCAGUGACAAACUGGAGGAAGGCGGGGACGACGUCAAGUCAUCAUGGCCCUUACGGCC